CUCUCUCUCUCUCUCAAUAAUAAACAUUAAAAGAUUCUUUUCAAAAAAGAAAAUACUUGUUAUUAUCUAAGUAUCUCAAUUGGCUGAAGGACAAAGAACAAGCUACUUAUCCUAUUUUCCAAAGCCCACCAAGAAUGGAAUCCUGCCAAUAACUAUGGUUGUAAGAUUAGCAGAUCUUCCCCCAGUCAAGCCUUCAGAUGAGAUCACAGCCCAGGCCAACAGCUUGACUACUACAUAGAGAGACCCUGAAAGAGAGGUGUCUGGCUAAUCCAUGCCAGAUUCCUGACCCACAGAAACCAUGAGCUAAUAAAGUUUUGUUGUUUUAAGCUGCUAAGCUUUGGUUGGGGUAAUUUGUUACACAGCAAUAGAUAAUACACUCUCCAUGUCACCUUCUUGUGGCCACUCUUGUAUAUUGUCAUGUACUAUUGAAGUUGUCAGUAUUCUGUCAAGAAUGAACUCAGUGCAACACAUUCAGUUGAGUAUCUAGAAGUAUCUAUGUGAUGGCAGAUUGACUGAAUACUCAUUGAGCGCCUUGACAUAGAAGGAACAUUCAUAGAUUGAAGAGCUCUUUCUGUCUUAGUUUAAAUGUAGUGCUGUUUGCUGGGAGCUGGCCCUUGUGAAAGACCGUGUACCCAUGCUGGUUCUACCUCUUACUUUUGGCAAGUCAUUUGAAUCUCUGUGAACUGGGGUCCUCAUCCCCAAAUGAGGGGCCAAUUGAAAUGCACUCUGAAGUCCCUUUCCAUGGACAUUCUAGGAUUUGAAGGCGGUCGCUAAGCAUCAGAUUGAGAAAGUGACUUAGAGACCAUGGAAAGAACAGGCAACUUCCUAGUUGGGCACAGUAAAGGGUUAGAUCCAUGAGCCCCUCUACUUGCUCUACUUCCGUAAGAAAGUCUUUUUGUAUUUCUUUGAUGCACUGACUUCACAAUUACAUAAAGACCUAAAUCUGGUUAUUUUUAUGCUCCAAUGAUUUAGUAAAAGUGAGAAUUAGAAAUCCAGAUCCUCUGACUUCUGGCUUGUUGCUUUUUCCUCCAACAUCAGAAUCCGCAUUCCCUUUAUUCCUCAGUCUGUUUCUAGGUUAUAAUUUUACUUCAUGCAGCUAUGAUGCCAUGAACUUGGAAAACAAAUAAAUACCAUUAAGCCUUCAGAGCCCUGGAAGUUUGGAAAACAGAGUUGGCCUGAGUGCUAGGGAAGACCCACUUCCUGAGCAAGGAGAGGGAAGGAGACGGUCCUUCUGCAUUACCUUUUUUUUUUUUUAAUGUUUAUUUAUUUUUGCAAGAGAGAGAGCACGAGAGCUUGUGCACACGCACAUGAGUGCACAAGUAGGAGAAGGGCAGAGAGGGGUGGAGAUAGAGGAUCCAAAGCAGGCUCUUCACUGAGAGUGGAGAGCAGGAUGCAGGGCUCGAACUCACAUACCAGGAGAUCAUGACCUGAGCCGGAGUCGGAUGCUUCACUGACUGAGCCACCCUGGCACCGCACUCCUGCAUUAUCUUAUGCUUCAAACUGAGAUGACCCCCAUACCUCGAUGGUGUAUAGGCGGGGUGACUCAUUUGUCUACAUAUGAAGAGGGAUUCUGAAAAAAGCCCUGAGAUCAAAAUACGGCCCUUGGGAGCUGUCCCCCUGGGGCCAUGGAAAGGGGAGACUCCAGAGGUCUGACUUGUAGCUGUCCUCAUCUGCUCCACAAGUGUCUGUCGCACAGGUCCAGGGGAAGUCUCUUUCCUUACUCCCUCCCUUUCAAGUACCUAAUAGCUCCUCACUCUCCAGUGAAGCUUGCACCAAACACGCCCCAGGCACAGAACUGUCGGUGCCUCAACCUACUUCUCCAGUUUUCUCUCAUGUACUGUGUGUUCCAGCCAAUUUGUACUCCUCUGUUCCCUGAACACAUCCUGUACUUUUCAUCCAGAUGCCUUUGUUCCUGUAGCUCAUUCCACUUGCAAUGCACCUUCUCCCUCUGUCGAAACUCCGUUGAAUCUUCAGGACUCACUUCCAAUGCUACCCCCUGCCCCUCAGACUGGCUUCUGAUGCUCCAAAGAGGAUGUGAACUCUGUCACUGUUUUCCAUACUUGGUAAUCAUGUAGGAAUAUGCCCUUGUUGCCCUUCUGCAUUAUAAACCCCUUAAAGACAGGAACUAAUAAACCUUCAUUGAAUUUUAUAAAUUUAAUGUUUCAUUCUAUUUGGCACUCUCAGACCUGCGGGCAGUGGUGUUUUGGAACUGAUGUCAGAGGGGGAUUUUUCUAAAUAAAUAAGGGUCAGCUCAUGGGGAUGGGAGAUGGUAUUUGAGCAUAUUGUUGGCUUCAAACAUGAAAAGAUUAAUACCUUAAAGUGCUUUAAACGGGUGGCUAACAUGUAAAAUUAAUACCAGUUAACAAAACUUAUCUCCUUUUGCCAUCCAGAUAUUAAAAACAUCCACAACUUAUUUUUAUGCAGAAUUUCCUGCUGCUAAGUAUCAGCUCUAGCCAUCUAGGUGAAUAAUCAAGUGUCAUUUCUAAUAAGUCAGCGGUUCCUGUCAAGAGUUGUGACCAAUUAGAACUCACCCCGAUGAGGAGGUGGCUGCUGGUGUUGCCAAGCAACAGCCAAGCUGGGAGGCACAUUUAGAGAUGCUCGGUUAGAUUUAACCAGUGGCAAGUCAGAGUGACAUUAUGAUUCUGGCAAAGGAAAGCCAAAUUAUAGCCCAGGAUGGGGUACCCGUGAUGAGGAGUGUGUUUUCUUUUAAAUGCAAAUGGAAAAGGAACAUUUUAACCAGAAUUUAAGCAGUCCAUCAUUAUACUGAUUUUAAUUAGGAGAUUAGGUGUCAGUGGAAUACAACUGUGUUGAAAGAUAAUGGUCUCUUGCUGCUAGAUAAAUACCCAGACAUUCUGCAAAAUGGGCAACUGGUCAGACAGGGACAAUGUCUUUUUGGACUACGAAGUAUUUAUUGCCACAGCCACACUUGGUUAUAAUGACUUUCAUUUUUAUUGUUUGAAAAGAUUAAGAAAUAAAAGCAAAUAUUAAAAAUAGACUGCUGCAGGCUCAUGCAGCCGAGAGAAAGCUGCUUGCUGCAACAUUACUGGAAGCCUGGGUUCUGUCCUAGAAGCCCUCAUGCAUGAUCAUCCGGAAAGUGUACGGUGAAAAUUUAAAGGCCAAACUAAACCAUGAUGAAGACUGUAAUUCUGUGAAGCCUUUUGCACUGAAAUGAUCGUAGCUAUGCAUUUACUCAUAAGCUGGCUAUAUCAACUUAAAUUUUUUAAAAUUGUAGUCAUUCUGGAGUAAUAUGUCUUCUCCAAGGCAGGAAAGGCCUGGAGGGAAUAAUAACCACAUCUGCCUCUGCCUUUAAGAUUCAUACAUUAUUGACUGUGCCUUCCUGACAGGAAACAUCUGGAUGAAAGUGAAAAAUUAGGCAGAGAGCUGGAUUCUCGGCAACUGUGAGAGAUACCAGCCUUCCCUGUCGGUCUGGCUUUUCUUUAACUGAGUCCCUAUCCACAGAGAUAUGAUUGGCUCAUUUAGUGUUGAGUGACACGCCCAGCCUGGCUCAGACUGUCAUGUCUGAAGCUUCCAGGUCUCCUGUAUCUGCUCAGUCACCAUCAGCUUAGUUUUGUGGGUGAAUGAGGCAAUAACCAUCACUUCUACAGUGCUUUGAGGACUGAGAAGACACAAGCCACCAUAUUGGGUUGGAUCCGUGGUCCAGCCAAUUUGGAGCCACUUAAAAAUGGCUGCCCUUCAUGGAUUCUACCACGAAAGUCGCAGUGCCCCAUGGCCUCAUUUCUCUCAGUAGCUGACUUUGAUGUUAACGACCCAUGCUUUCACCUACUAAAAACUUAACUGAAACUUAAGCCCGGAACAAGAUUAAACGGAUUUCUUCACUGCAGAUCUCUCCCAACCUGUUAAUAUGUUAAGGUAGAUAGCAAAUCGCUCAGAAGAUGGUUUGCAGUGUUUUCCGGAAUUGUAUGACCACGGGUCCUGUCAAACCCUUUUCCUCAGUAGUAAUUCAUAGCUUGAAAGUUCAUUGUCAUAGAAGUAUAGUUUUCAUGCUUUUCUCUUAAAUGUAUUAUUUUGUAUUUUCUUGGUUACACUGAAAGCGAGCUGCCACUUUUGUGUUGACUUACACAAUGUUAGAAGAAUGUUAGAAACUUAUUCUAAUUGAUGUGAUAUUUCUAAAAUCAGAAGAGCUUAGAGGAAUAUACAAAUGUGUAGAUUUCAUGGUGUGCUCCCUCUUUCAGAUGAAUUACAAAAUUCAAAAAUAAGAUUAGUGCUAACCUCGGUCCCCAGGGAAUCCCCCUUAUUUAUAUUUUUCCCUCAGAGGAGAAUUAAUUUAGCCCCAGUUUUGUUUCUUAAAAUUAAAUCUAUUUACUUCCUGACCCCUAAUAAAGUUUUACACAACCCCAGGGUUACUCAUUAAUAGUCUUUGGUAAAGAAUCUAGCACAAGACUCUAAAAAUCUCAAUAAAUCUACUGGUUGCCCUUUUUAAAAACUUAAUCUUUUAGGGGACAGGGUGAAAACUCUGGCAGGUCAGCUGGGCAAAAUGUUCUCUAAUAAAAAAAAAUCCAUUGUUUCCUCAGCGGUGCUCAGCAGUCCUGUAACUUAAACCUCAAUAGCUUGGCUGUCACUGGACUAUGAUUUCGGUGGCCUUUUUUUCUGGAAUCAGGGAUGCAGCAACUACAUUUUCACCAGUUCUGCAUCGUUCUGUGUUACCCCUAGCCUUAAGCCGAAACCCAAUCUUCUUUUAAGUAAAAAUAUGGCUUCAUGAUAUAAUGCUGAUUCUAAAAUAACUUCCAAGCGUUGCUGAGCCAUGCUGCCUAAUAUGCACACAGAUAAAGACGGUGCCAUCUAGAGCCUUUGAAUAUUAAUGACACUUCCAGACACAGGUAGUAAAGGACUCAGACCACCAAGGUGCUAAAGGAAAAAAGCCUCAGAAUUCCAAGGGAAAGCAAAUCUUUAUUUCAAGAAUAAAUUCUGCAGUUUGAUAAUAAAAGUCCCCAAGCUACUUACAAAUUCAGAAACGAAUGGAGAUAUGGAUAUUUCAAAGCUAUUUCAGGGAAAACGGACUCAGAUGCCCAUAAACCGAGUGGAGAGCAGGCUCGGGUCUGUUGUCCGAGCCUCUCUUAUUGCCUCUGCCCCUCCACCCCAUGUCCUUCUGUGCCCCAUUCUCCUCUCUGUGUCUUUGUGGCCUGUUUUUUCUGUUUCUGCAUGUAUAUGCUCGUGACUCCAAAGAGAAAGCCAACGAUUUGCCUCCUCCCCUUAUUUAAUUUUUCCUUGAUAAAACUAUUCCCUUUUAUUUUUCUUUUAUCUUAGUCUCAACAUAUAUCCUUCAGUAGAAAGCUUCCUGACUCUUUGAUUCUUCAUUCAUCCAUCCAUUCAUUCAUCCAGCAAAUCAUUAUUGAGUGCCUGUUCUGUGCCUAGUGCAAUGCAGUUAGCAAUAAAGAAAAGAGAAGUAAAGUAAAUGGACUGUUCACUGGCAAUAGCACUACAGAGAAAAAUAAACAAAGCAGGGAAGGGCAUAGAGAGUUCUGGGGCCCAGCUCCUGCAAGUCUGGGGAAGCCCUGAGUCUGAGAUGGUCAGGCAAGGGACCAAGAGGAAGACUCACACCAGUGCUUUCCACUCUGACUCUUAUCAGAAUUGUGCCAGGGAACUUGUAAAACAUACAGGUUCUCAGUCACCCUUAGACAUUCUCAUUCUGUAGGUCCUAGGGUGGCUAGAGUUAUGUAUUUUUUAAAAAUGUUUAUUUAUUUAUUUUGAGAGAGCGGGAAGGAGAGCAAGGUAGGGGCAGAGAGAGAGAGAGGGAGAGAGAGAAGCCAAGCAGGCUCCGUGCCACCAGCACAGAGCCCGUCACAGGGCUGGGACUCCAGAACCACGAGAUCAUAACCUGAGCCUAAACCAAGAGUCGGACGCCUAACUGAGCCACCAAGGCGCCCCUAGAAUUAAGUAUUUUAACAAGGAUCCUAGGUGAUUCUGGUGCAGGCCUUGGUCACACAGGUUUGAGGACCAGUGACAUAGAGAGCAAAGGCCAGUGGGAGGUUAAGGUCCAAAGAAAGCAUCCAGAAACUUAGAGGGUUAGUUUGGUUAACUAUUGGUUAACCCAAAUUAUUGGUUAACUCAGUAUUUUACUGGCUACAUGUAAUAAAGGUGACUCACCUAUGCUGGGCAAGGAGGCAGUCAGGGGCACUAAAGUCUGGUACCCUGCCCUCCUCCUCCGCCCCUCCACCCAUCUUCCCCAGGAUAAAAGACCACCCCCUUGUCAUAGCCUCCAUCCCGUCUACAAUCUGGUGUAGAGUGAUGCUCCACACUCAGAGCCCCAAAUCUUGCUCUUCGGAUUCCAAAGGAAGCUCCCUUUGAAAUUAGGAAAACUCUUUUCUCUCCUAAGACUGUUUAACUUCCAAGACCCCUGUCCCAAUAGGACUCGAGAAAGCCUGAUCUGCUGUUCAAGACUGAGCACCGGCCUCCUUGUUCUGGAAGGCACCCCCUUCCUCCUUCGGGAGCAACACGCACCAUUGACUCAGUGCAGGAAAGAAAAUCACAGGGCAUGUGAUUUAAUGUUUGAAAAUAUUAUCUUUGUCACAUAUUUUUUCAUCCUGGUGUUCCUUUCUAUUUCAGCAGCGCCGAACACCUCUGGCUGCUCCUUGCUCCUUGCUUCUUGCCAUGCAUUUCCCUUCCACUUUCUCCUGGACUCGCAGGCUUUUCUUCCCGAGGCUUACUUGUAGGUGUCUCCUCCGCCCUGCACUUAGAUGUGGUUCUCCCCACCACCCUCUUCUCUACCUAGGUAGACUGCAUGCCCUCUGGGGGUGAGCUCGCCCAUGUCUGGGUUUUUGAGGACCAUCUUUCCUGCCGUUCUCUCCUGAGCUCCAGAUCUGCAGUCAACUACUUGCUGAUGCAUCUAUUUAGAUGCCCCACCCCCCACCAAGAACCUUAAAUUCGUCCGGUCUGAAUGCUCCGGAGGUGGGGAGAAGGAGGUCUACUGCUGCCACUGGAAUGGCAUCCUUUCUAAUGGAAACCCAAGAACUUAAGCGUCCCCUUCCGGGUGAACUCCUGGCAGGCCCACGUGACCAGAUGGCAGAGCUACGUUUCUCAAAGGGCGUACCGGUAAGAAAGGAGAAAUUUGUAUUUCCUCUGUGUGAAAUGUGUUUCCACGCCUCAGCUGGUUCCAAACUUAGGCAGAAGACACCGAAGUGUUGCUCCUGAGCCCCCUAGGUUUCCAAAAUAGCCCCCAUAUGCUCCCCUUUCCCCUGCCCUCCAGAUAGCCCCUGGGACAGUCCCACGGAGCCUUAGAACAGCGUUCAAAAAUCACACAUAGGGUAGAGGAGCCGGGCAAACAGAGAGGUUAAGCGUAUUCAGGAGCUGGAUUAGGAUGUUGGCUCUGACUUACACGCUGUGUGACAUGCUCACAAAACUUCAUCUCUCUGUGCCUCAGUUUCCUUAUCUGUCAAAUGAGGGUGCUCAUAAUCGUAUUUACGUCAAAGGGAUGUGGUAAGAUUAAGCGUGUUAAUAUAAAUGGGAAGCUCUCAGAGUGGUGCUGGCACAGAUAAAAGCUUGGUGGGCUUUAGCUGGUGCUAUAUGAGCUCAGCGCACCCUCUGCCCUCAGAUACCAAAGGCUGUGUGGAAACACAAAACCUCACUGAACGUGGGCAGGACCACUGGUUUCUGAGUGAGUUAUAUUGGAUGGGAUUAAUUGUGAAGUAAGGGACCUCUCCUCUUCCUGGGGGCGGGGCUUUAGAAGAUUUCUAGGAAUUAAUCAGGACUGUACGGAUGAGCAUCUUGUGAUUAAGAGCGGCUUUCACUUAUUGAACUGAAGACAGGCGACUCUGAGCCCAGGUUUUCUGGAACAGCUAGACAUGGUGGAUGAGUCUGGAAGGACGCUUGCUUUGGAGUUGCCUGGGCACUUGGGACUCUGACUGAGGCAGUCCCUGAGUGCUUCACAUCAGAAGGGUUCAAGUGCACAGUCCCGAGUUCUUAGAAAAUUCAGAGCAGACACCGAGGCCGCACCAGCAAUUGAGAGGCCAUCAGGGAAGAUCAAGUGUGACAGAACUUGGCCAAGAGGCGGGACAGACAGCCCGAAGAAAAGGGCGGGUCUGUGGGUGGGGGAAAGAGGGAGCCCAGAGUUUGAGGGCUGGUAGCAUGUUGUGGAUGCCCCCUGGUCCACUGACUUGGCCCCCAAGGUUAACCUGGGCAUGCCUGCGUGCCUAGAGUUCACUCCUCCCCAGUGAUCCGCGGCCACCUCUUCCCUAUUUCUGACUGGACUCACAGCUCACCUGUGUUUCAACCUGUUCUCUGGUUCCUUGCUGUGUAAGAGGUGUUUCACCGUUCAGAUGCAUCCGCAUCACCUGGGAGUUUAUUAGAAAUGCAGGAUCUCAGACGUGCUGAGUCAGAAUCUGCAUUUUAACAAGAUCCCCAGGUGAUCUAUCUGACCUGGAAGCAUGAGAGGGCACUCCUCCGGUUUUCUCCUGGGCGCCCCCAAAAUGCCUGGGGCAGAGUCUUGGGACUUCACAGGAGUGCCUGUAGACUCACAAUUGCUUCACAGCAAUUGGAGAUGUGGGAGGCUGGAGAAAUGGAAGACACUCGGAUACAUGCCCUGCAGCAUAGGAGGCCCCAGUGGGCAGGGCGUUUUAGUGCACCUUCUGGACAAGUGAUGUGGUGUGAACCAGCGCUCCAUCACCAUUUGGAGAGAAGAAACCUCUUUCGGGGAGGGGGUGGGGUGAGUCUGCUUUUCCCGCGUCUUACCUCAUUGAGCUUCUCAGGACUGAAAGCAGAAGUCAGGACACUUCUGACCUCUUCCCAUCUUUUGUCACGUAAAAACAGGACGCUGUCCAAUACGGGUUUGGACUCCAAGCCAGACACCUGAGGACAACAAGCAGAAGAUUAGGACACAAGGGAGCCAAAGACACCUUGGUGGCAACACAAGUCUAUUGUAAACACUCGGGUUAAAGUCCACCAGUGACCAACAAAUUAGGAGAUUUCUCUUGCAAGGACGCAGAGGAAGCAUGCAAAGCCUCAUGGAUAACGAGGUAAAGGUUCAUGGCUGAGGGCCUGGAGGCUGCAGAUGGGUGGGCUCUGUCACAGUGCGGUCACCACUGUACAAACAACUCAGCAACUUCUACGUGUUGUGCAUUCCCCCUGCUGAGUGAGGGUUCCCCCAGGACCCUACAGAAGGCUUCUCAGAGAUGGGCUAGUCUUUCCCAGGGUUGAGUUUCACGUCUGAACUUUGUGGUGAGGGGUUUUGUGUGGCUGGAUUGGUCAGGUUGGGCUGGGAGUUGACGGAGUCAUGUCUCUGGGUCUUUGGUGAUGUGUAUGUAGAGCAAGAGAGAACGUGGGGAGCAUGGGGGGAGGGAAAGGGAAAAACAGAACCUUUCAGAGGCAUGUCCCAAUGGAGCCACUUCUAAGAGAACACCUGACAUGUUUCCGAGUUCUUCUAUUCAUUCAUCCAUUCAUUUUUUUUUUCACUCAGCAAACAUUUGUUGUGUCUAAUGUGCAAGGAGUUGGCUACUCAGUGUUGAAUAAAGAAGACAUGGUGGGGCGCUUGGGUGGCUCAGUUGCUUAAGCGUCUGACUUUGGCUCAGGUCAUGAUCUCGCGGUUCGUGGGUUCGAGCCCCACAUCGGGUUCUGUGCUGACAGCUCAGAGCCUGGAGCCUGUUUUAGGUGCUAUGUCUCCCCCUCUCUCUGCCCCUCCUCUACUCACGCUCUGUCUCCCUCUCCUUCUCUCUCUCUCUCUCUUUC